GUACUCCCUUCGGCAGCACAUAUACCAAAAUCAGAACAACACCGAUGUUAGCAUGGCCCCUGCACAAGCAUGACAUACAAAUUAGUGAAGCAUUCCAUGAUCUU